UCAAAGAUAGAAACGCAAUGAAUAUCAGAUGAUAUUCUAGAACUGGUAGGUAGCCCAGUCGUCUAAAUAUUAUUUAUUUAGGUAAGUAACCUUCCCCUCCGGGUUGUCCAUUCUUUGAGAAAAAU
rnacentral:ncRNA from 1 species